AGCUCUUGCACUAUCAUAACUCAUAACAAGCACCGAGCAUCUCUACUGAAAUUCCCACUAUCUUCAAACCAUGUUUCUUUGCCAUCCUCUUCCCAGCUACCUUCUCCUGCUCACCGUCAUCCUCGCUACCAGCAGGCAUGGAGCAAGCUUGUGCCACCAAGAUCAAAGUGCUACCCUGAUACGCCUCAAAGCUAGCUUCCACUUCGACGCCACGCCUUCAACUACUUGUCCGUGGUUUCCACCUGAAGAAACAAUUCUUUCGUCGUGGAAGGUAGAUACAGACUGCUGCACCUGGGAAGGUGUAACAUGUGACGGCACGUCGGGCUAUGUUACUUCUCUCGACCUGUCCUACCUCUGCAUCUCCGGUAAUCUCAGCUCACCGGACAUCUUUAAACUUACCUCGCUUCGCUCCCUUGACCUUUCUCACAACAAUUUUGAUGGAAGUCCAUGGCCAAGCCCCGGAUUGGAGCAGCUCACGAAUCUCAGGUACCUUAACCUCUCUUAUUCUGGCUUGUCUGGGAAUGUGCCCGUCGAGAAAGGCCAACUUUUCAAUUUAGUCACUUUACACCUCUCUGGCCUUGAUCUAAAAUAUUUGAGCCUUAAGAUUUUGAUUGACAACCUUGUGGGUCUCCAAAAUCUAUAUCUUUAUGAUGUCAAUAUUUCGAUGAGUCCAACCGAUUUGGCACAUGGCUCUUCUACAAAUACAACGACAGGUCUCAAAGAGCUAAGCAUCGGGGGGUGGACGAUCACCGGUGGCCGUUCUGAUACUGUUUUUACUAACCUCCUACUUCAUCCUAAGCUUGCCAAUUUAGUCACACUAGAACUCUCUUAUUUGGAUCUUACAAAUUCGAGCCUUAACACCUUGAUUGAAAGCCUUGGCAAUCUCCAAGGACUAUAUCUUUAUACUGUAAACAUUUCGGUCAGUCCAACCGAUUUGGCACAUGCCUCUUCUACCAAUACGACGUCAGGUCUCAAAGAGCUAAGCAUGCAGUGGUGCAUGAUCACUGGUGGCCGUUUUGAUACUCUUCUUACUAAGCUCCCAUUUCUGUCCAAUUUAGUCACUCUAGACCUUUCAGUCUUUGAUCUUCAAAAUUUGAGCCUUCAUGCCUUGAUUGACAACCUUGGCAACCUCCAAAAACUAUAUCUUGAUUCUGUCAACAUUUCGGUCAGUCCAACCGAUCUGGUGCAUGCCUCCUCUACCAAUAUGAUGCCAGGUCUCGAAGAGCUAAGCAUGACACGGUGCAUGAUCGCUGGCCGUAUUGAUAUUGCUCUUACUAAGUUCCGAUUUCUAUCCAAGUUGAUCCUUGAUGGCACACAUUUUAGUGGCCCUGCUCCUGUGCCAGAACGUUUUGUGGAGUUCUCAUCGCUCGCAGUUCUUAGUCUUCGAAGCUGUGGGUUGACCCGGACAACCUUCCCUUCUUGGAUAUUUCAUAUCAAAAGCUUGAUGUAUCUCGAUGCAUCAGGGAAUGAAAAUCUAUGUGGAGAGUUGCCGGAGUUUAUACAGGGUAGCGUGUUGCAGGCUUUGAUCAUUAGUGGAACAACGUUUUCAGGAAGAAUACCAGAAUCUAUUGGAAACCUCCGAAAUCUGACUAUGUUGGACCUUUCUAAUUGCCAAUUCCAUGGCCCUAUCCCACCAUUUGCUCAAUGGCCGAAAAUUCAGAUGGUUGACCUGUCAGGUAACAACUUAAAUGGUUCAUUACCUUCAGAUGGCUACCUUUCUCUACACAACCUAACUGAAGUUACUCUUGGUAACAACUCGAUAAGUGGUGUGAUACCUGCAUCUCUAUUUUCUCAUCCUUCUUUGAAGUAUUUAGAUCUCUCACAAAACAAUUUCACUGGAAAUUUUCUAUUGUAUCCUACUGUAUCUUCUAGUUUCAGAUGGAUCGAUCUUAGUUUUAACAAAUUACAAGGACCUCUUCCAAAACUUCUGUCGAAGUUUGUUGAACUAGAAUGGUUGGAUGUUUCGUCAAACAAUCUCACUGGAUCUGUGGGUCUAAGUUUCAUUAAGAAUUGCAAGGAGCUCGAGUAUCUAUCGCUGUCCUACAACAAGUUGUCUGUUGUCGAGGAGGAUGUCAAUCACUCCUACUUGGAAUAUCCAGCUAUUGGGUUAUUGGGAUUGGCAUCAUGUAACCUAUCAUCUGUACCUAAAUUUUUAAUGCACCAGACACGUAUUUACGAUUUAGACCUCUCAAACAACAACCUUGGUGGACACAUACCUGAUUGGAUAUGGGGAAUUGGAGUUAUUAGCCUUAACCUCUCUCAUAAUUUAUUUACCAGCAUUAAUACAAAUUUAUCGAAUACAUCAAUUUCUGAUCUUGAUCUCCAUUCCAACAAGAUUGAGGGUGCUCUCCCACUACCCCCAUUGGGAACUUACCGAUUGGACUACUCCAAUAACCACUUCAAUUAUUCUAUCAUGCCUGAGUUUUGGUCACAUGUUAGCUCCGCCGACUCCCUGUCAUUGGCAAACAAUAGUUUUACUGGAGAAAUUUCCCAUUUGAUCUGCAAUGCAACAGAUAUAGAAGUUCUGGACCUUUCUUUUAACAGCUUCAGCGGAUUAAUACCACCCUGUUUGUUGGAACAAAACAAGCAUCUUGAGAUACUGAACUUGAGAGGUAAUAAUUUCCAUGGAUCGUUGCCUCAAUAUAUCAGCGAGGAAUGUGCACUUCAAAUAAUAGAUUUCAACGGCAACAAGUUGGAGGGAAAAUUGCCGGUAUCUAUUAUCAACUGUCACAUGCUACAAGUCCUAGAUCUUGGAAACAACUUCAUAGUGGAUACAUAUCCAGAGUGGCUAGGAGUUCUGCCUUUGUUGAAAGUGUUGGUUCUGAAGUCAAACGGGUUUCAUGGUCCCAUUGAUUACUACGGGAUGAACAAACAGACGCAUACCUUCUUCCCAGAGCUGCAGGUUCUGGACCUUUCUUCAAAUUCUUUUAAUGGUACCAUACCUGCACGAUUCCUCAAGCAGUUCAAAGCUAUGAUGGUGGUUUCUUCUGGAGCUCCGAGCAUGUAUGUUGGAAUUAUUGAAACAACAUCAGCAUUAGCUUCAAGCUAUCAUCCAUACUAUAAGGAGUCGAUCACCGUCACGCUCAAGGGGCAAGAAACAACUCUGGUACAGAUACUUUCAGUCUUCAUGUACAUCGACCUCUCCAACAACAACUUCGAGGGUGUCAUCCCUGACGAGAUCGGCGAUCUGAAGCUUCUCAAGCAGCUCAACCUGUCCAGGAACUCCUUCACUGGCGUGAUCCCUCCUCGGAUAGCGAACAUGCUGCAGCUGGAGUCCUUGGACCUCUCCUACAACCAGCUCUCUGGGGAGAUUCCUCCUGCAAUGGCCGCAAUGUCAUUCCUCGAGGUUCUCAACCUGUCCUACAACCACCUGUCAGGGCAGAUACCGCAGUCCAGCCAGUUCUUGACGUUCCCGACCACAUCAUUUUUGGGGAACGACGGGCUGUGCGGGAAGCCGCUGAUACGCUCGUGUGACAUCAACCACGCACCAUCAGCUCCUGCUACGCCGGGCUCUUCUAAGGAGCUGAACUGGGAAAUUUUGUCAGUUGAGGUAGGGGUCAUUUCAGGCUUGGCCAUCGUGGUUGCGACCAUGCUGCUGUGGGGAAACGGGAGGAGGUGGGUCUACUUCCAUGUCGACAAGUUUUGGCUGCUUGUUCUGCAGCCAUGGAUCUGCCGCCGUCGAUGCUGAAUGAGUUGUUCGUGUUUUUAUACCUUAAAUGAUAUGUGCAAGAAAAUGAGCCGGCAUUACGCCCUGCUUUCUCUGGACAGCAUUGUAGUAUGUGGUGCUGAUGUGCUGCUGUAUGUUUGGGCGUUUGGCUACUACCUUUUUUCCGAAGAAGAAAUUUAGUUGAGGAUCCCAUAUGAAACUUUCAUAUAUACUCCUAUACUAUACGAUGUUUAUUAGAUAUGAUUUAUGAAGCAAUGAAACUCUGCUUUGCUAAGAAAAACAACAGAAGUAGAAAACUAAAACUGCUGAAAAGCAACAAAGCUUACCUUUCUGAUUUACUAGAUGAACAACAUAGCAUAUACGCAGUUAAUGAUUGGGCACUACUUCGUGCUAAUCCUGAACAACCUUUAUUACGUAUGUUUCUUUUGAGUUGGAUGAAAACUAUGUGAUGCGCUACCCUUUGUGAUAUUUCGAUGCUAUUUUGUUGCAAAGAACAAAGUGAGUUGAAUUGAGGGCUUGAUCUAAAAUUUUGAUAUAAGGUCUCAUUGAUUUGUUAAGAAAUGAAAAUAUAUUUUCCAAGGAAGAAGAUUAGAAGAAACGCUGAACAGUAUUAUAAAAUAGAACUGCUGAAAUAAGGAUUUAAUACUGAAAGGGAAAUAUAGACAUGAGCUGCUUUUCUAUGAACUACUGAGAAUAUCUUAAGUUAUUGCAGCAUCAAUCUUAGCUAAAUACGAAGUCAUGUGCAAAAUAGUCACUAAAGAUCUAAUUACAAGAAUUCCAAUUCUUUGACAUACUUAAUUACCUCUUUUGCAACAUCACGUCAACUGAGUGUAGGUGCAUAUUACCAAAUAUUUUUUCCUUUCAGUUUCCUUGCCUUCUCGCUCUAAACCUGAAAUGUUCUGUUGGUUGCUUGUUGCCUUGUUCCAAAGAAAUGAUUCAUGUAGGCUGGUCUACGGGUACAUUUGGUUUGGCAGAGGCUGCAUAUCCAUAAUGAGGCUGAAUUCUAGUUCGUGGCAACCUGUGGCUCAACCUUUUUCAUGAAAUUCAGAAGUGAUUGAUUUCUAUUCAGUAAGUUGUGCCUAGUCUGUGUACAGCUUCAUCGUUUUACCCGUGCCGGUGGUCAGCAAAGUGUUCCUUCAGAGACGGAGAUAAUUAAUUCAAUGGGCAUGUUCAAAUGGCAGAGAUCGAGUGGAUUGAAGACAAACCUAUCACCAGUCACCAUGCCAGAAGACAGCAACCUCCUCGAGGUUUUCAACUUGUCAAUCCAUGGAGGUUGAUAGCAUUUAUCGAUCUGGUAACCGUGUUCUGGAUAUCGGACUGCGUUCUCGAACAGGGGCGAUGCCACUGCCAUGGCAGGGGCAACGUUGUCAGCUGAAGCCACACACGGGUGCCCAGGGGGCAGCAUGCUUUAGUCCACCCGGCCAAUUCGGCCGUGAUGAUCACACGGCAAACGUUCUAGUUCAGGAACUCCAUACGGAGCGCCUUUACCGAUUAUCAUCAUCUGCGAAAAUCCCCAAACUACCGUCGUCAGUUUCUUCAGCACCAUAACUCAAUUAAAUCUCUAGAUCCCUGCGGAGGCAAGGUGCGACAGGGGACGGUCGGACGGAGGGGCGCGGCUGGAGCUGUGGCGGGUGGAGGCGGGCGAGCUGAGGAUAGGAAGACGGGAGCGGGGAAGAAGAGAAAUUGGCUAUCCACUGACUUGUGGACUCCAUUCGUCAGUGUGAUGUAGUAAAAAAAUAGGUCAAGCAGUAUAGGUAAACUAUUGGAGAAAGCCUCCUUUGCAUACCCAAUUUUUCCUCUUUCGUACCUAUAAGUGGUUUUAGGUAUUCAAAUAUACCAAUGCUGCUGGAGAUGCUCGUAGGCCUCUACUACAUAUGCUAGCUAAUUUUUCCCAUGUAAAAUCCACCUCAUCUUAUUUUCAAAGAGAGACUCGAUAGUUAUUAAUAAAGAGACUAUCUCAAGC